rnacentral:tRNA from 1 species
GGAGGACGAACCCACUCUGGCUGAAGGGAACGUUCUGGAAAACCGUCAGGCGUGUAAAAGGCGUGCGUGGGUUCGGAAUCC